rnacentral:lncRNA from 1 species
GUAGUUCUGUUUCAAGUUCUUUCAGAAAUUUCUAAACUAGUUUCCACAGUGUCUGAGCUAAUUUACAUUCCCAUCAACAAUAUAUAAGUAUUCCUUUUUCUCAGGUUUGAAGAACUCUCUUUCCUUUGUCUUCUACUCUGGACCUCUCGCCUCAUAAAUACAAAACCCAGCCUGAGGAUUCAAAGUGAAUGUUCCCAAAUUACAAGUGUCUAUAGAAAAUCUCUAUGUAGAGUCUCCACAAGCACUCACCCCACUUGAAUUCCCUUUGCAACUUCUAGUUAAUCACCUUCAUCUUCCCAUGCUUCAGACCUUGUAGUUAUACAGAACUAAUGUCAUCAACACCUAUUAUUUUCAUAUGAAACAGUUUGAUGAUUACAAAAGCCAUUAUAACACAGUACAGAGAGAAUGAUAGUCUGUUUAAAGCACAAGUACUCACAGGCCUGAAGGAAUAUGUAACAAAAUGUCAUUAGUAGUUUUCAAUAGGUUUCAAAGCUGAGUGAUUUUUUAAAACUUAAAAAAUCAUUUACUGAACAUUAGUCAUGGCUCUAAAUAAUUUUGAAAGUAAUCAAUGUUAAUUAAUUUAAUGUAAAUAUUCCAAGGUCAUUACUUUCUCUUUAUGCAACCUUUAUGUUGCUCCUACUUUUAUUUUAUAAUACCUAGAUUGUUAUAAAAGAUUUUGGUUCAAACUCCUGAUUCUAAUUUAUUUCUAUAGAAUUUCACUCUACAUGCCAUUAUGACUAACAAUUCCACCUUCUUCUCGAUUAUGGCCUCAAGAAUCCAAAUUUCACUUUAGUCUUCUAAGCCCCCAUUCCUGGAUUUAAACAGCCAUCUUCUUAUGGCUGUAUCCUACUACUGCAACUUUGCCAUCUUCUGCUAGCCAUGUGACUCCUGGAAUGUCCUUAGUCCUCUCCUCACCUCUCCCACCACUGUUGUGCUCAUUCCUGUCUCUAGGCUAGCUCCUAAAUAUAGCUACCAUACUGAAACUGGGCCAAGUAGAAAGCAUCAUUUCUGUUUCAUGUAACAAAUAUGCUAGGUUCUGAAAAGAAACAUCGGACAUUUAUUUGAAGCCAAGACAAAGAGAUUUUCAGAUACCUAUAAAUGAAGUCAGUAAGCUGAAAGUAUCAGUAAGCUGAAACAUAUGAAGAUGAAAUCAAGAGUCAUGAAUUGAACAAACACACUGGAAAGCUUCAUUAACUGUUUUUCAAGCUGAUGGGGGUAAUUUACUGCUCUUGCACUUCCUGGCUAAGCCAAAAGGAUUAAUGUGUUGUGAAAUGAGGAGUGGUGGUGGGAACAGACUCCCAGUGGGGCAGGAGAGUGCAAUGCUUCGAGUCUCAGAAUUCAAGAUUCAGCAUGUUGAUCUAAAUGGAAUUGAAGAAGUCUUCCCAGAUUUUUCUUUUCUAAUUUCUGCAAGAGAGAUCAUGGGAAGAAAAAGUUACAAGGAAUAAGA